rnacentral:tRNA from 1 species
GAGAAGAUAAAAUAGACCUGCUAAAUCUUUAACCCGACAUUAACCUGCCGGUCUUCUCU